rnacentral:rRNA from 1 species
UACGUAGGGGGCUAGCGUUGUCCGGAAUCAUUGGGCGUAAAGAGCGUGUAGGCGGCCCGGUAAGUCCGCUGUGAAAGUCGGGGGCUCAACCCUCGAAAGCCGGUGGAUACUGUCGGGCUAGAGUGCGGAAGAGGCGAGUGGAAUUCACGGUGUAGCAGUGAAAUGCGUAGAUAUCGUGAGGAAGACCAGUGGCGAAGGCGGAUCUCUGGAGAGUUCCUGACGCUGAGGCACGAAGGCCAGGGGAGCAAACGGG